rnacentral:pre_miRNA from 1 species
AAAGUACUCCCUCCGUCCCAAAAUUCUUGUCUUAGAUUUGUCUAGAUACAGAUGUAUCAAGUCACAUUUUAGUAUUAGAUACAUCCUUAUCUAGACAAAUCUAAGACAAGAAAUUUGGGACAGAGGGAGUAGUUG